AACGAACGCUGGCGGCAGGCUUAACACAUGCAAGUCGAACGCGAAAUCACCUUCGGGUGGUGGAGAGUGACAGACGGGUGAGUAACGCGUGGGAACCUACCUAGUGGUACGGAAUAACUCAGGGAAACUUGGGCUAAUACCGUAUGUGCCCGAAAGGGGAAAGAUUCAUCGCCACUAGAUGGGCCCGCGUCGGAUUAGCUUGUUGGUGAGGUAACGGCCCACCAAGGCGACGAUCCGUAGCUGGUCUGAGAGGAUGAUCAGCCACACUGGGACUGAGACACGGCCCAGACUCCUACGGGAGGCUGCAGUGGGGAAUAUUGGACAAUGGGCGCAAGCCUGAUCCAGCCAUGCCGCGUGAGUGAUGAAGGCCCUAGGGUUGUAAAGCUCUUUCGGCGGGGACGAUAAUGACGGUACCCGCAGAAGAAGCCCCGGCUAACUUCGUGCCAGCCGCCGCAGUAA
rnacentral:rRNA from 1 species